rnacentral:rRNA from 1 species
AGAGUUUGAUCCUGGCUCAGGACGAACGCUGGCGGCGCGCCUAACACAUGCAAGUCGAACGAGCGAGAGAGAGCUUGCUUUCUCGAGCGAGUGGCGAACGGGUGAGUAACGCGUGAGGAACCUGCCUCAAAGAGGGGGACAACAGUUGGAAACGACUGCUAAUACCGCAUAAGCCCACGGCUCGGCAUCGAGCAGAGGGAAAAGGAGCAAUCCGCUUUGAGAUGGCCUCGCGUCCGAUUAGCUAGUUGGUGAGGUAACGGCCCACCAAGGCGACGAUCGGUAGCCGGACUGAGAGGUUGAACGGCCACAUUGGGACUGAGACACGGCCCAGACUCCUACGGGAGGCAGCAGUGGGGAAUAUUGCACAAUGGGGGAAACCCUGAUGCAGCGACGCCGCGUGGAGGAAGAAGGUCUUCGGAUUGUAAACUCCUGUUGUUGAGGAAGAUAAUGACGGUACUCAACAAGGAAGUGACGGCUAACUACGUGCCAGCAGCCGCGGUAAAACGUAGGUCACAAGCGUUGUCCGGAAUUACUGGGUGUAAAGGGAGCGCAGGCGGGAAGACAAGUUGGAAGUGAAAUCCAUGGGCUCAACCCAUGAACUGCUUUCAAAACUGUUUUUCUUGAGUAGUGCAGAGGUAGGCGGAAUUCCCGGUGUAGCGGUGGAAUGCGUAGAUAUCGGGAGGAACACCAGUGGCGAAGGCGGCCUACUGGGCACCAACUGACGCUGAGGCUCGAAAGUGUGGGUAGCAAACAGGAUUAGAUACCCUGGUAGUCCACACCGUAAACGAUGAUUACUAGGUGUUGGAGGAUUGACCCCUUCAGUGCCGCAGUUAACACAAUAAGUAAUCCACCUGGGGAGUACGACCGCAAGGUUGAAACUCAAAGGAAUUGACGGGGGCCCGCACAAGCAGUGGAGUAUGUGGUUUAAUUCGACGCAACGCGAAGAACCUUACCAAGUCUUGACAUCCUGCGACGCACAUAGAAAUAUGUGUUUCCUUCGGGACGCAGAGACAGGUGGUGCAUGGUUGUCGUCAGCUCGUGUCGUGAGAUGUUGGGUUAAGUCCCGCAACGAGCGCAACCCUUAUGGUCAGUUACUACGCAAGAGGACUCUGGCCAGACUGCCGUUGACAAAACGGAGGAAGGUGGGGAUGACGUCAAAUCAUCAUGCCCUUUAU